rnacentral:rRNA from 1 species
AGAGUUUGAUCAUGGCUCAGAUUGAACGCUGGCGGCAUGCCUUACACAUGCAAGUCGAACGGCAGCACGGGGCAACCUGGCGACGAGUGGCGAACGGGUGAGUAACACAUCGGAACGUGCCCAGUAGUGGGGGAUAGCCCGGCGAAAGCCGGAUUAAUACCGCAUACGACCUAAGGGUGAAAGCAGGGGAUCGCAAGACCUUGCGCUAUUGGAGCGGCCGAUGUCAGAUUAGGUAGUUGGUGGGGUAAAAGCCUACCAAGCCGACGAUCUGUAGCUGGUCUGAGAGGACGACCAGCCACACUGGGACUGAGACACGGCCCAGACUCCUACGGGAGGCAGCAGUGGGGAAUUUUGGACAAUGGGCGCAAGCCUGAUCCAGCCAUGCCGCGUGCGGGAAGAAGGCCUCCGGGUUGUAAACCGCUUUUGUCAGGGAAGAAACGGUCUGGGUUAAUACCCUGGGCUAAUGACGGUACCUGAAGAAUAAGCACCGGCUAACUACGUG